rnacentral:rRNA from 1 species
GACGGGGGGGGCUAGUGUUAUUCGGAAUUACUAGGCGUAAAGGGCACGUAGGCGGUGAAUCCGGUUGAAAGUGAAAGUCGCCAGCUCAACUGGCGGAAUGCUUUCAAAACCAAUUCACUUGAGUAAGAUAGAGGAUAGUGGAAUUUCGUGUGUAGAGAUAAAAUUCACAGAUAUACGAAGGAACACCAAAAGCGAAGGCAGCUUUCUGGGUCUCUACUGACGCUGAGGUGCGAAAGCAUAGGGAGCAAACAGG